UUCCCCUGAACUAUGGGCUUGUUUUCAAUUUUGCACCAUGAUCAUAAUAAAAAUGUAACUCUUUAUUGUCAACUAGUGUAAACAAUAUUACAACUUAAGAAAUUAUUUAAAUUGAUGGCAGAGGGUAACUCAUGUUUUUUGAAAAUAAAUGUAGUAAUGAACACUGACAUACUUAUAAAUGCAUCAUGGUUACAGUGAAAAAGUUUACUUUCUACUAAAAGCACUGAAAAACUCUCCGGGCUUGGUUUCUUUUUCUUUCUUUCUUGUUUGUUUUAUAAUCCUGUACUGGCAGGAGAUGGACUAGAUGACCUAAUAGGCAGUUUUCAAAUUCUAUUAUAUGAAUUUCAAUGUGGUAUUUCAUAUUCAAUUUUGUUGUUUUUAUUGCAGCUCAACAAUGGACACAUGAACAUGGACAGCUUUUACAGUCACAAUAAAGAAAAUCAUGUUUUGAAAUAAAGCAGAGUUUUUCUCAUCAGGUAUCUUAUUUUUCAGUACAGAGCUGCACAUUUUAAAUGUAUCCGUAUUCGUAAUCUCUAUUUUAUAUAUAUUUGGUAAAAUUCACAGUCAGGGGAAAGAGGUCCAAGAUUGAUUUGCUCAGGUUCUAGCCAUAUUCUUAACUGCAGCCAUUUGAAAGUGAUAAAACAUCUACAGGGAAACCUUAUUAGAAAAUGUUUGAUAAAUGAAGGACCAGAUUUGUUGCAACCCAUUUGACUUUAAUGGGGUUGCACGUGGUUUAAUGGAGUUCAUUCGGAGGGGAAUGAAACCUUUUCUUUUUGGAUUAUAAAAUACUGUAAAUUAAAAAAAUAUUGGAGAAGGUAGAGCUUUUAAUGCAUGAAUCGACAGCAUUGCAAGGCAGUCAUAUAAGAAUUUUACAUACCUGUGAUUUUUCCCCACUAUAUUCUACCUUUCUCUGAAAACCACAGGCUGACAACAGAAAAUAAAGGGAUGGUUUCAAUUUCAGAUAGCCUGUUGGAUAAGAAAAUGAGGACUUUCUGGAAAAUAGUGUGCUUUUACAGGUGAUACUAUAUUCCCUUGAUCAGUUCAGUGGGGCAACUAGGUUCGUUACGGGAGGCAUGGAAUUGGAAAAUAAGGAUUGGUUAAGAGGCUUUGCGGUGCUGAACUUUCUGGGAUUCAGAAGAGGUGAAUUAGUCACCAAUGGUAGGAUAUGAUUAGGGAACUUGUUUGUGUGUUCAAAGCCUUUGGUGUUGAUCUGAGCAUCACAUAAAGUGCUGCUGAUUAGUAUAACUAUUAGCAAUUUUAUAGCCUUUGAAGUUGGUCAGUUUUAAAGAAAAGACUGACACUGAAUCUAUGGGAAUAUCCCCUGUAGCACUAGAUUUAAAUAUGCUGCCAUAAUCCCCCAAGGUUUGCAGACAGCACCACUGUGAUUGCUGUUAUAUCCCUAAGGUUCUUCACCUAAGCUUGUAGCUUUGUUGUUCACUGACUUGACAGGAAUGCCUUUCCAACAUGAAGGCGGGAAUUCUGCCGUGGAAGUAGUUGAAUGCUCCCUUUCCCCUGCACGGGGAGAGGAAGAGUCACAUGUGGAGGUUCCCUUGCACAUGGGGAUCCAAAGGUCCAUGAAAUCUAGCCAGAACAGUUCUGCAGUUCUAUAAUUAUUCUGGUCUGUACUUGCUGGUAGGGGAAGUAGUCCAACUGUUUGGGAUGGUAUUGGACACAGAAGAAAAUUUUCAGGCUUUUGGGAGGGGCUUGAGUCAAUAUGUUCUUCCUCCCGAUGUACAAAUCCAUGUUAGAUAUAACGUCUUUAAAAUAAGUGGAGCUGUACUCAGGAUGAUGAAUUUGUCCCACUGUGCACUUUUUGAAAUGUGCCAAACAGUUUUUAAAAAAACAACUUUGAAUACUUUGGAAUGAAAAAUCUAAUGGAGCUCAGACACGUCUAGCCACUCUCAUUCUGUUUACCACAAUACAUUCAAAUCAGAUAUUGUACAUAGAAAGCAUCAGAUUCCCUGUAUAACAGUUUUUCUUUAAAGUUUGCAGCAUAAUGAAAUACAACAUAAUAGAUCAUAAGGUAAAAAGAAAAUUUAAAUGAGAUCUUCAUGAUUCAGAAAAAUGUUGUGUUGUGUCCAAAACAAAUAGCUAAAUGCAAUGAGCUCACUGCAUCAACUUUAAACUUGUUUUUAAAAGUCACCAUGGAAGAUGCUUUUUUUCUACUUUGGGUUUGAGGGGGAAGUGGUCAAUUUCAACAAGUACACGAAAUGUGGCAGGCCAAUAAUUUCAUUUUUAGAACAAUCCCUUUCAUAGUAAUCCAUUAUUUCAUUGAAGGCAAUAGCUUCAAAUGUGGUAAAAUUUUCUGCUCAUUUAAGUGGAAACAUUAUAAGAAAUUAUUGUGUUCACAUCUUGUGAUAAAAGUUGUUGUGGGCCAUAACAUUGAGGAACUAUGAGUGUCUAUUGUGGAAUAGCUUCUGUUCUUCUCUAUAACCUACAGUAUGUCUCCAUUGACCAGCCAGAUUCUCUGACAAUGCCUCUUCUUUCACGGUUUCAGAAUACCAGAACCAUCCAACGAUGUAUGAAUCAUCUACCCUUACUACUGGGAAUUUCUAACAGGUCCAGAACUCUCUCUAAAGAAUCAUUGCUGCAGGAAAGGAAAUGAUUAAAAUUCCUCAGAGGCAAGGUAAAUAUUGGUUUUAAAUGUAGGAUCAGAAUGAACUUAGAUUUUACAACCUACGAGACUCAUCAUCCAACACUUUCCAUAGUACCAUUUCAGUUCUCCAGAAAGAAUAAUUGUAAGUAGAAAUAUAUUAUUUUGCCAGGAAAUAACUGAUUUUGAGUUAUUAGAUUCCAGCUGUAGCUGAGGCAGGGAGGACAGGACAGGAAGCAUUCACAGUUCAUUGUAAAUUUGCCCCAAGAUUUUCCUAAUCCUCCAUUUCCCAAGGUAAUGUAAAUGAUGGAUUGCAGAAACUGAACUGCAGGUAUAAAGCUGUGGGGCCCUCCCUUAAACAGUGAUUUUUUUUUCUCCUGCUGGUGAGCUGAGCUCACUGUGAGCACAGGAUUUUCAUUCUAACCUCCCACAGCUCAGUCGGAAUGAAUCAUUUGCAUAGUUAUAUUUUGAAAUAGUUUUGUCUAGUUUCAUAUAAACCCUAGUAAAUAGGAUGCAUAUUAGAUAUUAAUUCAAGCUAGGGGAUAUGUUCUCUUCUUGUUAAGUGCACAUAACUUCACUCAUUAUUAAACAAAGUCUGGCCUAGACCAAAAUGCCUCUGAGCUUAGGGAAGUUCAGAUGCGACCUUUGUGUUGAUAUACUCAUUGAGAGAACAGUAGAUUCACAAUACAUAUAAUAGAAAAUUAAAACUGGAAAAAAUAGUCUACAGUGUAUUAAUUCCUGGAGCUGGCUGAAAAUUUUUCAUCAGAACUUUUUUUUCAAAGGAAUAGUAGGUUUUUGAUUAAACAAAACUUUCCAAGUAUCUGCUUUCAGCCCAAAUGA